CUCUUUUGCUGUUGGACCCUUGUAAGGCCCCUAUGUCUACCUCUCCGGCUGGGUGCGUGUCUGCCCCAGGGCUGAGGGGCCGUGAGGCUGUAUCCUCAUACUCACUCCCUUUCCUAGGCUCAGGGCCCCCAGUUCCCGCCCCAGACCUCUUGAUGCAGAUCAAGCAGGAGGGUGAGCUCCAGCUCCAGGAGCAGCAGGCCCUGGGUGUGGAGGCGUGGGCAGCCGGGCAGCCAGAUAUUGGGGAGGAGCCCUGGGGCCUCAGCCAGCUGGAUUCCGGAGCAGGAGACAUCUCCACGGAUGCCACCUCUGGUGUCCAUUCCAGCUUUUCCACCACCAUCCCGCCCACCUCCUGGCAGGCAGAUCUCCCUCCCCACCAUCCCUCUUCAGCAUGCUCGGACGGGACCCUGAAGCUCAACACAGCAGCCUCCACGGAAGCAGAUGUAAAAAUUGUAAUAAAAACAGAAGUCCAGGAAGAGGAGGUGGUGGCCACACCCGUACAUCCUACUGACCUAGAGGCUCACGGGACCCUGUUUGGACCAGG
rnacentral:sRNA from 1 species